GCCUGUCUGACUCAGUCAGUAGAGCAUGCGACUCUUGAUCUCAGGGUCAUGGGUUCGAGACCCACGUUGGGCG
rnacentral:tRNA from 1 species